AACGAACGCUGGCGGCAGGCCUAACACAUGCAAGUCGAGCGAGGACUUCGGUCCUAGCGGCGGACGGGUGAGUAACGCGUGGGAACGUGCCCUUUGCUUCGGAAUAGCCCUGGGAAACUGGGAGUAAUACCGGAUGAGCCCUUUGGGGGAAAGAUUUAUCGGCGAAGGAUCGGCCCGCGUUGGAUUAGGUAGUUGGUGGGGUAAUGGCCUACCAAGCCGACGAUCCAUAGCUGGUUUGAGAGGAUGAUCAGCCACACUGGGACUGAGACACGGCCCAGACUCCUACGGGAGGCAGCAGUGGGGAAUCUUAGACAAUGGGGGAAACCCUGAUCUAUCCAUGCCGCGUGAGCGAUGAAGGCCUUAGGGUUGUAAAGCUCUUUCAGCUGGGAAGAUAAUGACGGUACCAGCAGAAGAAGCCCCGGCUAACUCCGUG
rnacentral:rRNA from 1 species